UACGGAGGAUGCGAGCGUUAUCCGGAUUUAUUGGGUUUAAAGGGUGCGUAGGCGGACGCUUAAGCCAGCGGUAAAAUUGCGGGGCUCAACCUCGUCGAGCCGUUGAAACUGGGUGCCUUGAGUGGGCGAGAAGUACGCGGAAUGCGUGGUGUAGCGGUGAAAUGCAUAGAUAUCACGCAGAACUCCGAUUGCGAAGGCAGCGUACCGGCGCCCAACUGACGCUGAAGCACGAAGGCGUGGGUAUCGAACAGG
rnacentral:rRNA from 1 species